rnacentral:rRNA from 1 species
UACGAAGGGGGCUAGCGUUGUUCGGAAUCACUGGGCGUAAAGCGCACGUAGGCGGAUCCUUAAGUCAGGGGUGAAAUCCCGAGGCUCAACCUCGGAACUGCCUUUGAUACUGGGAAUCUUGAGUCCGGGAGAGGUGAGUGGAAUUGCGAGUGUAGAGGUGAAAUUCGUAGAUAUUCGCAAGAACACCAGUGGCGAAGGCGGCUCACUGGCCCGGUACUGACGCUGAGGUGCGAAAGCGUGGGGAGCAAACAGG